UGAUGUCGAUCACAAGGACCUGAAAAUAUACUUUUUUGUGUAGUUUUGUUUCUUGGUGUUGAAAUCUGUCAACAAUUACAGACAGUGUCUGAAUCUUAACUGAUCUAUUAAGAUAUAACAACGAACUGUUUGUUUUUUUUCUGAUAUCAGUCCUACAUUGCUGUUUUGUAAAACGUAUUUGAAGAAAAGUCGAUUAGCUUCUAACUAGAUACAGCUAAUAUAAUGAACAGAAUUAUAGUGAAUCAAGUCUUCAAAACAUACACUGGAGUCCAGCGAACUAUUUGUAUAAUUGAACAGGAUGAAAUUGUAGAAGUUUAUGGCAUCAAGUGUGCUUGAGGAAACGAGGAUUUUACAGUGUUUAGAAUGGUGUAGGCAAAUAAUUAGUAACUAGAGUAAGAAGGAUAAUGCAGAGUAUGUUGUGUGUUGAUUCGAGCUGGUGAUUCAAACUGUGUAAUUAAGGUUAAAAUGCAUCGAAUCCAAACCUGAAA